GGUUUUAUAGUUUAUGAAAACAUUAAAUUGCAAAUUUAAAGAAAAAUAAUUUUUAAGACUU
rnacentral:tRNA from 1 species